AUGAUGGAAAAACUGCUGGCUAAUACUUUUACAGGAGAUGGAACAAAGCAUCAUGAUGAACAUCUACUCUAUGUGGAUGAAGUUUGUGGAUUAUUUAAGCUUGCAGGUAUACCCGAUGAUGUUGUUAAGAAGGUCUUCCCUUUAUCUUUGAAGGAAUACACAUUGACAUGGUAUAGGCUAUGUGAUGAUACGGGAUCAUGGAACUAUAAAAGAUUGAAAUUGGAAUUUCAUCAAAAGUAUUACCCUAUGCAUUUUGUUCAUCGUGAUCGCAAUUAUAUAUAUAAUUUUUGGCCUCGCGAAGGAGAAAGCAUCGCUCAAGCUUGGGGGAGACUUAAAUCAAUGUUAUAUUCAUGCCCCAAUCAUGAUCUCCCAAGAGAAAUAAUUAUUCAAAGUUUUUAUGCUCGGCUUUCUGAUAACAAUCGCACCAUGCUCGAUACUUCUUGUGCUGGCUCUUUUUAUCAUGAAGACUAUUGA
rnacentral:rRNA from 1 species